CCCUUAGAUGCUCUGGGCCGCACGCGCGCUACACUGGUCGAUGCAACGAGUUUCUUUCCUUGGCCGACAGGCCUGGGCAAUCUUUGAACAUCGAUCGUGAUCGGAAUAGAUUCUUGUAAUUUUUGAUCUUAAACGAGGAAUUCCUAGUAAACGCAAGUCAUCAGCUUGCAUUGAUUACGUCCCUGCCCUUUGUACACACCGCCCGUCGCACCUACCGAUUGAAUGGUCCGGUGAAAUCUCCGGACUGGCGUGAGUCGGAGCAAUCUGACAAACGCCGGAAAGUUGAUUAAACCUUACCAUUUAGAGGAAGGUGAAGUCGUANCA
rnacentral:rRNA from 1 species